GGGGAUAUAGCUCAGUGGUAGAGUGCUUGCCUAACACAUACAAGUCCCUGAGUUCAAGCCCCAGUACCACCA
rnacentral:tRNA from 1 species